GGGUGGUGGGCCCACUAUGGCAUAGAGAGAAUCAGAGAAACAUGGGGGCAUGGAGCAUUCGUUGCGCUGCGCCAAAUCUCGCUUCCAGCUCCGGCCCGGUGUGCUCCGCAGGCUCCACCUCCGCGUCCUCUCAAGUCUCAAACGCUCAAGGUCUCACCGGAGACCGCGCCGCGCCCCGCGGGCUUCUGGUAGCUCGGGAUGGCCUCCGGGGGCUCGGCCGCACGUGACGCGUACGACGAGGAGGCCGCCGUCCGCCGCCCCCUCGAGCUCGAUAGCCGUGACGCCGCCGCCUCGUCCUCCGACCACUGGCCCGGUGGGAAUGCCAUGCCUAGGUAUCAAGUGGGCUUGACAAAGGAUGAUUCAAGUAGUAGACACUCUGAGUGGCGGCAGCCUAGCACAGAUGAUGUGCGCAAGAGCAAGCUCGGGCCAAGAUACUUCACGGCGUUUGGCGUGGAUCUGUCCCCUGAUAAUAUGGCAGUUGCCAUUGUCUAUUUUGUGCAAGGGGUUCUGGGUCUUGCACGGCUUGCUGUGAGCUUUUACUUAAAAGAUGAUCUCCAUCUAGAUCCAGCUGAGACCGCAGUGGUAUCUGGUUUCUCGUCCUUGCCGUGGUUGAUCAAGCCCCUCUAUGGCUUUAUCAGUGAUUCCAUUCCACUCUUUGGAUAUCGAAGGAGGUCGUACCUUUUUCUGUCAGGGUUACUUGGAGCACUUUCAUGGAGUUUAAUGGCCACAGUAGUGAGCAGUAAAUACAGUGCAGCAUCCUCUAUUCUUCUUGGCUCACUUUCUGUUGCCUUCUCAGAUGUUGUAGUGGAUUCUAUGGUUGUUGAGAGAGCCCGUGGAGAAUCUCAAAGCACAUCUGGAUCACUCCAGUCGCUCUGUUGGGGAUCUUCUGCCUUUGGAGGAAUUGUGAGUGCUUACUUCAGCGGUUCGCUUGUGGAUACUUAUGGAAUUUGUCUUUGGUGUAACAGCGUUUUUACCCCUGAUGACAUCUGCUGUUGCAGUUCUUGUAAAUGAACAUCGCAUAUCUUCUGGAGAACGUACUACCUUACACUCUGGUUCAGGAUUCGUUGAGAGUUCUAAGCAGCACGUCAGGCAGCUUUGGACUUCAGUAAAGCAGCCUAACAUAUUGUUGCCGACCUUGUUUAUAUUUCUUUGGCAAGCAACACCACAGUCAGAUUCUGCUAUGUUUUUCUUCAUCACAAAUAAGCUUGGAUUCACACCAGAGUUUCUAGGGCGUGUGAAGCUUGUAACCUCCUUUGCAUCCCUGCUCGGUGUUGGGCUCUACAACUAUUUUCUGAAGGAAGUUCCUCUAAGGAAAAUAUUUCUCGUGACAACCAUUAUAGGUUCAGCUCUUGGGAUGACACAGGUGCUUCUUGUAACUGGGCUAAAUCGGAAGUUUGGGAUUAGUGACGAGUGGUUUUCUAUUGGUGAUUCAUUAAUCAUCACAGUCCUUGGUCAGGCUUCAUUUAUGCCAGUCUUGGUGUUAGCUGCAAAACUGUGCCCUCCAGGAAUGGAAGCCACUUUAUUUGCAACUUUGAUGUCAAUUUCUAAUGCUGGAAGUGUUACUGGUGGUCUGGUUGGUGCUGGUCUAACUCGGAUAUUUGGGGUCACCAGGGACACCUUUGGGAACCUACCUCUAUUGAUUGUCGUCUGCAAUCUUAGUUCGCUGCUGCCCUUACCUCUUCUAAGUCUCCUGCCAGAGGAAUCAGGUGACACAGACAAUGGAGAAACAAAGAAUAUCUGACUUGCUGAGGGUUUCAUCUCUGUUUGUUCUGAUUCUCAAGUAUAGCAUACCACAGUGCCCAGCUUCAACUCAGAUAUGACCCAUCCAGUUGAAGUUCAAAAGAUCAGUGGGCAAAUAUGAAAAUCAUACUGGAGAUAAGUUCAGUUAGUCACCACCACCAUCAGCCAGUAUCUCCUGCGACUAUUAACCUGUGAUCAAAGCGAUUCAUUGGUGAUCAAAACGACUAUUAACCUGCGAUUCAUUGGCGCACAGGUAAUCACCACUUUUUUUAGUUUAUAUAAGUUACCUUGCAUACGAAGGCAAGGUCGGUUUUAUCUUUCUCUACAUUCUUUGAGUUUUUUGUUAGCUAAUGCUGCGACCCCAUGAAAACUAGAGUAGGGGUCAAAGACUAGUAGUUGAGGAUUCCCUUACAAAGUCGAAUGUAUUGUAACCAAAAAAAAAGAGAGGGAAUAUUUAUGCAUUAUGGAGGCCUAGAGUACGGACACGUAAAGGAAAAUACUUGCACACAAUUCGCCUUGCCGUACAGUAUCAGGUUCUGCUUACAUCACUAGGCCCAAAUGAAGUGCAAUCACAGAGGCACAUACAGGAAAACUAUAGCACAACAGAAUUGCAGCACCCAUGCAUGGUCCGUAACAACCCACUGAAUUUUCGCAGUGCCAAGUACUGGUGUCAAUGAUAAAUUGAUAAUAGUGUGUAUAACCACAGAUCUAUUCUUUGAUGUCUGUUUGGGGGUUAACUUGAAAUAUGAUUUCAAUUUAUUGGCGAGU